rnacentral:rRNA from 1 species
AGCAGCCGCGGUAAUUCCAGCUCCAAUAGCGUAUAUUAAAGUUGUUGCAGUUAAAAAGCUCGUAGUUGAAUUUCGGGGUCAGUAGGUUGGUCAUGCCUUCGGUAUGUACUGGUCUCACUGAUUCCUCCCUCUUGAAGAACUGUAAUGUCAUUAAUUUGGUGUUGCGGGGAAGCAGGACUGUUACUUUGAAAAAAAUUAGAGUGUUUAAAGCAGGCUCACGCUUGAAUACAUUAGCAUGGAAUAAUGAAAUAGGACGUUCGAUCCUAUUUUGUUGGUUUCUAGGAUUGACGUAAUGAUUAAUAGGGAUAGUUGGGGGCAUUAGUAUUCAAUUGUCAGAGGUGAAAUUCUUGGAUUUUAUUGAAGACUAACUACUGCGAAAGCAUUUGCCAAGGAUGUUUUCAUUAAUCAAGAACGAAAGUUAGGGGAUCGAAGACGAUCAGAUACCGUCGUAGUCUUAACCAUAAACUAUGCCGACUAGGGAUCGGAUGAUGUUAAUUUUUUAAUGACUCAUUCGGCGUCC